ACGUGAUCUGAGUUCAGACCGGAGUAAUCCAGGUCAGUUUCUAUCUAUAGUGGAGCUCUUUCUAGUACGAAAGGACCGAAAAAGCAUGGCCAAUACUUAAUGCACGCCAUAGUUAAUAAUUUCUGAUUUAACCUUAAUAAAUAAUUAAUCCCCCAACCGGCUCUAAAAAAGAGCA
rnacentral:rRNA from 1 species